GGAAGGCGGAGCUUGCAGUGAGCCGAGAUCGCGCCACUGCACUCCAGCCUGGGCGACAGAGCGAGACUCCGCCUCAAAAAAAAAAAAAAAAAAAAAAAAAGUGACCUGGGCCGGGCGCGGUGGCUCACGCCUGUAAUCCCAGCACUUUGGGAGGCCGAGGAGGGCAGAUCACGAGGUCAGGAGAUCGAGACCAUCCUGGCUAACACAGUGAAACCCCGUCUCUACUAAAAAUACAAAAAGCUGGGCGCGGUGGCGCGUGCCUGUAGUCCCAGCUACCGG
rnacentral:lncRNA from 10 species